AGCGUACACGGUGGAUGCCCUGGCAGUCAGAGGCGAUGAAGGACGUGCUAAUCUGCGAUAAGCGUCGGUAAGGUGAUAUGAACCGUUAUAACCGGCGAUUUCCGAAUGGGGAAACCCAGUGUGUUUCGACACACUAUCAUUAACUGAAUCCAUAGGUUAAUGAGGCGAACCGGGGGAACUGAAACAUCUAAGUACCCCGAGGAAAAGAAAUCAACCGAGAUUCCCCCAGUAGCGGCGAGCGAACGGGGAGGAGCCCAGAGCCUGAAUCAGUGUGUGUGUUAGUGGAAGCGUCUGGAAAGGCGCGCGAUACAGGGUGACAGCCCCGUACACAAAAAUGCACAUAUUGUGAGCUCGAUGAGUAGGGCGGGACACGUGGUAUCCUGUCUGAAUAUGGGGGGACCAUCCUCCAAGGCUAAAUACUCCUGACUGACCGAUAGUGAACCAGUACCGUGAGGGAAAGGCGAAAAGAACCCCGGCGAGGGGAGUGAAAAAGAACCUGAAACCGUGUACGUACAAGCAGUGGGAGCCUCUUAAUGGGGUGACUGCGUACCUUUUGUAUAAUGGGUCAGCGACUUAUAUUCUGUAGCAAGGUUAACCGAAUAGGGGAGCCGAAGGGAAACCGAGUCUUAACUGGGCGUUAAGUUGCAGGGUAUAGACCCGAAACCCGGUGAUCUAGCCAUGGGCAGGUUGAAGGUUGGGUAACACUAACUGGAGGACCGAACCGACUAAUGUUGAAAAAUUAGCGGAUGACUUGUGGCUGGGGGUGAAAGGCCAAUCAAACCGGGAGAUAGCUGGUUCUCCCCGAAAGCUAUUUAGGUAGCGCCUCGUGAAUUCAUCUCCGGGGGUAGAGCACUGUUUCGGCAAGGGGGUCAUCCCGACUUACCAACCCGAUGCAAACUGCGAAUACCGGAGAAUGUUAUCACGGGAGACACACGGCGGGUGCUAACGUCCGUCGUGAAGAGGGAAACAACCCAGACCGCCAGCUAAGGUCCCAAAGUCAUGGUUAAGUGGGAAACGAUGUGGGAAGGCCCAGACAGCCAGGAUGUUGGCUUAGAAGCAGCCAUCAUUUAAAGAAAGCGUAAUAGCUCACUGGUCGAGUCGGCCUGCGCGGAAGAUGUAACGGGGCUAAACCAUGCACCGAAGCUGCGGCAGCGACACUAUGUGUUGUUGGGUAGGGGAGCGUUCUGUAAGCCUGUGAAGGUGUGCUGUGAGGUAUGCUGGAGGUAUCAGAAGUGCGAAUGCUGACAUAAGUAACGAUAAAGCGGGUGAAAAGCCCGCUCGCCGGAAGACCAAGGGUUCCUGUCCAACGUUAAUCGGGGCAGGGUGAGUCGACCCCUAAGGCGAGGCCGAAAGGCGUAGUCGAUGGGAAACAGGUUAAUAUUCCUGUACUUGGUGUUACUGCGAAGGGGGGACGGAGAAGGCUAUGUUGGCCGGGCGACGGUUGUCCCGGUUUAAGCGUGUAGGCUGGUUUUCCAGGCAAAUCCGGAAAAUCAAGGCUGAGGCGUGAUGACGAGGCACUACGGUGCUGAAGCGACAAAUGCCCUGCUUCCAGGAAAAGCCUCUAAGCAUCAGGUAACAUUAAAUCGUACCCCAAACCGACACAGGUGGUCAGGUAGAGAAUACCAAGGCGCUUGAGAGAACUCGGGUGAAGGAACUAGGCAAAAUGGUGCCGUAACUUCGGGAGAAGGCACGCUGAUAUGUAGGUGAAGCGACUUGCUCGUGGAGCUGAAAUCAGUCGAAGAUACCAGCUGGCUGCAACUGUUUAUUAAAAACACAGCACUGUGCAAACACGAAAGUGGACGUAUACGGUGUGACGCCUGCCCGGUGCCGGAAGGUUAAUUGAUGGGGUUAGCGGCAACGCGAAGCUCUUGAUCGAAGCCCCGGUAAACGGCGGCCGUAACUAUAACGGUCCUAAGGUAGCGAAAUUCCUUGUCGGGUAAGUUCCGACCUGCACGAAUGGCGUAAUGAUGGCCAGGCUGUCUCCACCCGAGACUCAGUGAAAUUGAACUCGCUGUGAAGAUGCAGUGUACCCGCGGCAAGACGGAAAGACCCCGUGAACCUUUACUAUAGCUUGACACUGAACAUUGAGCCUUGAUGUGUAGGAUAGGUGGGAGGCUUUGAAGUGUGGACGCCAGUCUGCAUGGAGCCGACCUUGAAAUACCACCCUUUAAUGUUUGAUGUUCUAACGUGGGCCCGUAAUCCGGGUUGCGGACAGUGUCUGGUGGGUAGUUUGACUGGGGCGGUCUCCUCCUAAAGAGUAACGGAGGAGCACGAAGGUUGGCUAAUCCUGGUCGGACAUCAGGAGGUUAGUGCAAUGGCAUAAGCCAGCUUGACUGCGAGCGUGACGGCGCGAGCAGGUGCGAAAGCAGGUCAUAGUGAUCCGGUGGUUCUGAAUGGAAGGGCCAUCGCUCAACGGAUAAAAGGUACUCCGGGGAUAACAGGCUGAUACCGCCCAAGAGUUCAUAUCGACGGCGGUGUUUGGCACCUCGAUGUCGGCUCAUCACAUCCUGGGGCUGAAGUAGGUCCCAAGGGUAUGGCUGUUCGCCAUUUAAAGUGGUACGCGAGCUGGGUUUAGAACGUCGUGAGACAGUUCGGUCCCUAUCUGCCGUGGGCGCUGGAGAACUGAGGGGGGCUGCUCCUAGUACGAGAGGACCGGAGUGGACGCAUCACUGGUGUUCGGGUUGUCAUGCCAAUGGCACUGCCCGGUAGCUAAAUGCGGAAGAGAUAAGUGCUGAAAGCAUCUAAGCACGAAACUUGCCCCGAGAUGAGUUCU
rnacentral:rRNA from 1 species